rnacentral:rRNA from 1 species
UACGUAGGGGGCGAGCGUUGUCCGGAUUUAUUGGGCGUAAAGAGCGUGUAGGCGGCCAGGUAGGUCUGCUGUGAAAACUCGAGGCUCAACCUCGAGACGUCGGCGAAACCAUCUGGCUAGAGUCCGGAAGAGGAGAGUGGAAUUCCUGGUGUAGCGGUGAAAUGCGCAGAUAUCAGGAAGAACACCCGUGGCGAAAGCGGCUCUCUGGAACGGUACUGACGCUGAGACGCGAAAGCGUGGGGAGCGAACAGG